rnacentral:siRNA from 1 species
GUCAAUAUGUCCGAGUGG